rnacentral:lncRNA from 1 species
UGGAAGUUCCCAGGCUAGGGGUCCAGUCAGAGCUGUAGCCACCGGCCUACGGCAGAGCCACAGCAAUGCGGGAUCCGAGCCACAUCUAUGACCUACCCCACAGCUCACAGCAACGCUGGAUCCCUAACACCCUGAGCAAGGCCAGGGAUUGAACCCACGACCUCAUGGUUCCUAGUUGGAUUCAUUAACCACUGAGCCGCGAAGGGAACUCCUAUAGCAGAAAUUUUUAAAACAUUGCAAAUCAACUAUACUUUAAUAAAACACAAAGGAACGAACCAAAUAAAAUACCCUUGAAUGGUUCGGGCGGGACCUAGUCCUGCGUUCGGCGGCCACGAGGAGCCCCUGCCGCCAGGGGCAUCAUUGUGACUGUGACUUCCUGGCGCCCGCAUCAUCGAAGGUUCUGCUGACAUCACCCCACGGAAGGCUCAACGCCCUGCGCCACGACCUUACAAAGACUUGGAAAACACCUGCCCCUGUGGGCUCCCUCUGCCGCCUCUCAGGUCACCCACUCGAGGUGAAGGGCCUCCUCGGAAGGGAGGUGGGGAAGUGGGGUGCCCCCCUCCGGGACGUUGUCACAAAGCCUCCCUCUGGAGAGACGCCGUGGCCCCCCACCCACGCGGCAUUGCUGGAGUCCUUGGAUUUCAGCGGAGCCAGGGUCGCAUUACAGGGCUUGAAAACCGCCCGGGGGAAGCCCGGCGGGUGUGGAGGUGUCCAGCGUGAGAGCUCUGUGGGCGGCCUUGGCGGCGAACCGGGUUCUAGGAAGCACAUCCCAGGAGGUGAAAAGCAGCAGGUGGAUUUCGGUGUGUCAGUGUCGUCCUUUGCUCUCCAGACUGUCUAAUCCGCAUCCGUGGACGGAUGGGAGCUGAGGCUCUCUCCUCCUACGUUUGUCUUCAGAGCCCAGCGUGUUCUGCGCUCCCACAGCACAUCUCAAGUCAGACGCGCCCCGUUUCAUGUGCUGGACGGCCUCAGUGGCCACUGAACCGGCAGGUGUGGCCCUGGGCCGUGAAUACUGGGGUCUCCCUUCUGCUCAGCGCACAGCCCUGCAGACGCGCCCACAGAAAUCCCAUGUGGAGCUCAGGGCAGGCGACAGGCGGUGGCAAGAGCCACCGUUUCCGUGUUAGAACCUGAUGACUUAUGUUCAGAUUUUUCUAAAAAAGAGUUUUUUUCUGUUUCAUUUCUAGGUGGUCACUUCUAGUCUGUUCACGUUACCGAUUUCUUCUUGAUCCAGACUUGGGGGCUGUGCGCUUCCAGAAAGUUGUCCAUUUCUUCCGCAGCGGCCCAUGUCUGACGGCACGUCGUUCCCCAGCGAGGCCUCUCACGGCUUGUGCAUCAGCCUUCAAGAAGGCUCGUGUUCUUAGCUCGCCAUGGUCUUGGGACAAAUGAUGCAGCUUUCGGUGUUUUGGUGAGGAGAAAGAAUGGAACGCUGGGGACAGACUGCGCCCUCCUCAUGACCCCAGCUCGCUCGCUGUCACUGCCCUGGAGCGAAGGGCCGGUUUCACGGGGAGACGAUGCAUCUUAAAAGGAAAGUGCUGCUGUUGGUCCCGUGGCUCUCAGCCCUCUUGCUGCUCAAGCGUUACUUCAGGUGCUGAGCGAGCAGCGGCAGAGGACACGCCCGUCCCUGUGCCAGGUCCCAUCCCGUCCCGUCCCAGCUGGAGAAGGCAGAGCCGACGAACAGAAGAGGGGAUUAGGGAUGACAUGGUUUACGGCGUUAGUGUCACGAAGGAAAAAUAAGGAGCUGAUAGCAUGAGGUUGCUAGUACCGACGAAGCACAAACGCUCCCAAAGCGUCAGCUGGUGUCUGCUGCAAAGGAGACCACGGGGAGCUGCGAUGGCCGCGUGUGACCUGGGGACACCUCUGUGACCCACUCACUUUCUCUCCUGGAGAAAAAUUCUGGUGCUUCCUUCCUCUGUUCUCAGGCCUCCUGGUUCCCCUCCUAAGCAAGGCAGUCUUUCCAAACGCGAUUUGAAAAGCAGUCGUGGAGUUCCUGCUGUGGCUCAGUGGGUUAAGGACCCGGCACAGUGUCCAUGAAGACGUGGGUGGCUCAGUGCUGGAGGAUCCGGCGUUGCUACAAGCUGUGGCUCUGGCUGUGUUGGAGGCCGGCAGAGGCAGCUCCGAUUCGACCCCUAGCCUGGGAACGUCUAUAUGCUGUGGGUGCUGCCCUAACAAGGAAAAAAAGAAAAGAGAAGAGAAAAGCAAUCAUGUCAUGAGAAAUAAAAAAAUGAAACCUUUAC